UACGGAGGGGGCUAGCGUUGUUCGGAAUUACUGGGCGUAAAGGGCUCGUAGGCGGUUCGUCACGUCGGGAGUGAAAACUCGGAGCUUAACUCCGAGCCUGCUUCCGAUACGGGCAGACUAGAGUCUUGGAGAGGGUCGUGGAAUUCCCGGUGUAGCGGUGAAAUGCGCAGAUAUCGGGAGGAACACCAAUGGCGAAGGCAGCUUGCUGGGACGGUAUGACGCUGAGGCGCGAAAGCGUGGGGAGCGAACGAG
rnacentral:rRNA from 1 species